UACGUAGGGUGCAAGCGUUGUCCGGAAUUAUUGGGCGUAAAGAGCUCGUAGGCGGUUCGUCGCGUCGGCUGUGAAAUCCCGAGGCUCAACCUCGGGUCUGCAGUCGAUACGGGCAAACUAGAGUAUUGCAGGGGAGACUGGAAUUCCUGGUGUAGCGGUGAAAUGCGCAGAUAUCAGGAGGAACACCGGUGGCGAAGGCGGGUCUCUGGGCAAUAACUGACGCUGAGGAGCGAAAGCGUGGGGAGCGAACAGG
rnacentral:rRNA from 1 species